rnacentral:lncRNA from 1 species
AUGCCCAAGAGGAAGGUCAGUUCAGCUGAAAGGGCAGUAAAGGAAUAACUCAAGAGGAGAUCUUCAUGAUUGUCAGCUUAAUCUGCUCCUGCAAAAGUGGAAAUGAAGCCAAAAAGGCAGCAGGAAAGGAUAAAUCUUCAGACAAACGAAUGUAAAGGAGAAAAGGGGAAGAGCAAAGGGAAAAUAGGCAAAAAUGGCUAAGAAACUAAAAACGAUUUACCUGCAGAAAACGAAGAGAGUAAAACCACGGAGAACCCAGCGUCUGAUGAAGCCCGAGACAAAGAAACCAAAUCUGAUUAAU